rnacentral:lncRNA from 1 species
GUGGUAUUCUCCAAGCCUUCUUUCUUCAACUUUAGACCUUGAAAGAAAAUUCUGCACUACUGUCAGGGAUUUCUGUUUUGCACAUAUAUAAUGAGGAUUUCAGAAGAGAGACAAGACCAGGGAGAAAGGGAGAAAGAAGAGAAGGAAGAGAGAGAAAAGAAGAAGGAAGAAUAUAGAUGGAGAGAUUGAGGAAGAAGAAAGCAUGUAGAGAAAGGAAAGCAGAAUUUUUAUUCUCAUUCAACCAUCGAUUACAAGACCAU